ACUUAAAUUGAAGAGUUUGAUCAUGGCUCAGAUUGAACGCUGGCGGCAGGCCUAACACAUGCAAGUCGAGCGGUAGCACAGAGAGCUUGCUCUCGGGUGACGAGCGGCGGACGGGUGAGUAAUGUCUGGGAAACUGCCUGAUGGAGGGGGAUAACUACUGGAAACGGUAGCUAAUACCGCAUAACGUCGCAAGACCAAAGUGGGGGACCUUCGGGCCUCAUGCCAUCAGAUGUGCCCAGAUGGGAUUAGCUAGUAGGUGGGGUAAUGGCUCACCUAGGCGACGAUCCCUAGCUGGUCUGAGAGGAUGACCAGCCACACUGGAACUGAGACACGGUCCAGACUCCUACGGGAGGCAGCAGUGGGGAAUAUUGCACAAUGGGCGCAAGCCUGAUGCAGCCAUGCCGCGUGUAUGAAGAAGGCCUUCGGGUUGUAAAGUACUUUCAGCGAGGAGGAAGGCGUUAAGGUUAAUAACCUUGGCGAUUGACGUUACUCGCAGAAGAAGCACCGGCUAACUCCGUGCCAGCAGCCGCGGUAAUACGGAGGGUGCAAGCGUUAAUCGGAAUUACUGGGCGUAAAGCGCACGCAGGCGGUCUGUCAAGUCGGAUGUGAAAUCCCCGGGCUCAACCUGGGAACUGCAUUCGAAACUGGCAGGCUAGAGUCUUGUAGAGGGGGGUAGAAUUCCAGGUGUAGCGGUGAAAUGCGUAGAGAUCUGGAGGAAUACCGGUGGCGAAGGCGGCCCCCUGGACAAAGACUGACGCUCAGGUGCGAAAGCGUGGGGAGCAAACAGGAUUAGAUACCCUGGUAGUCCAUGCCGUAAACGAUGUCGACUUGGAGGUUGUGCCCUUGAGGCGUGGCUUCCGGAGCUAACGCGUUAAGUCGACCGCCUGGGGAGUACGGCCGCAAGGUUAAAACUCAAAUGAAUUGACGGGGGCCCGCACAAGCGGUGGAGCAUGUGGUUUAAUUCGAUGCAACGCGAAGAACCUUACCUACUCUUGACAUCCAGAGAACUUAGCAGAGAUGCUUUGGUGCCUUCGGGAACUCUGAGACAGGUGCUGCAUGGCUGUCGUCAGCUCGUGUUGUGAAAUGUUGGGUUAAGUCCCGCAACGAGCGCAACCCUUAUCCUUUGUUGCCAGCGGUUAGGCCGGGAACUCAAAGGAGACUGCCAGUGAUAAACUGGAGGAAGGUGGGGAUGACGUCAAGUCAUCAUGGCCCUUACGAGUAGGGCUACACACGUGCUACAAUGGCAUAUACAAAGAGAAGCGACCUCGCGAGAGCAAGCGGACCUCAUAAAGUAUGUCGUAGUCCGGAUUGGAGUCUGCAACUCGACUCCAUGAAGUCGGAAUCGCUAGUAAUCGUAGAUCAGAAUGCUACGGUGAAUACGUUCCCGGGCCUUGUACACACCGCCCGUCACACCAUGGGAGUGGGUUGCAAAAGAAGUAGGUAGCUUAACCUUCGGGAGGGCGCUUACCACUUUGUGAUUCAUGACUGGGGUGAAGUCGUAACAAGGUAACCGUAGGGGAACCUGCGGUUGGAUCACCUCCUUACCUUAAAGAA
rnacentral:rRNA from 1 species